rnacentral:antisense_RNA from 1 species
GGAGAGGGAAGCGCUCGUGCCCACCUUGCUCGCAGGUGCCCUUGCUGACCUGGGUGAUGGCCUUCUCCCCGCGGCUCUCGGCCCUCUGGCUGGCGGCGCGCAGCUGGCAGCCGCUCGGAUCAGUGUGGAAAUAGAUGUGGACGCUGUGCUGCUGCCUGAGAUUAGCAGGAAGCAAUUCUUUUCCCAUUUGGAGAGACCCCGGCUUUGUCGGGCCAGGAGAUGGUUUUGCAGCAGCAGAAGACUAUGAACUGGGCUUUGGGAGAUAGGAUCUCUGGUUGUAUUCUGGCUAUCCACACUCUGAAAGAGGACCAUGACAGAGAAUUUGAGUAUCCUACCAAUAUACCUACAAAAGGAUGAAAGAAGAUUUGGAGUCAAGGGAAAACAAGGGCAAUAAAAUAGAUGCUUACCACCUACUCUCAUACAGUUGCUAGAAGAGGACUGCACAUUUGGUUCUAAGUUUCUGGAAGAUAAAGCAAAAAUAGAAACACAACUCAUUAUAAAAUUUUGGUGCAUCCAUAAAAUAAAAACAAAUGACCUAUUUUGAGAAAACUCUUUCUGAGUUUGAGCUCUAAAAGGAACUUCUCUAUGGAAUCCUUAGAAUAUGAGAAGGCUGUGAUAUAGGGGAGAAACCCCUUGACAUUCCUAUAUUGGGUUUAGAUCUAAUUUCACUCAGUAUUUCUAAAAUGUUACUCCUUAUAGAUGGAUGAUGAGAUGCCAAAGUACAGCUGAGUGAAAGCGGUUCCUUUGAAAACUAA